AUUUCACAAUAUAUACAUAUACUGAAUCAUUAUGUUGCACACCUGAAACUAAUACAAUGUUAUAUGAACAAAGAACAAACAAUCCAGACUAUUCUGAUAGAAACUAGCGGAAGAUCGGUUGGUCACGGUGCGGUGAUCGGGGAAGUCUUCUCUAAGGAAUGAUGUUGAAUUUGGAUGGGAAGCAGCCAGCCCUCCUGCCAGCAGAGAAUCUGGUGGGGGAGGAGGGAGUUGAGGUGGCUGAUGGUCCACACAGAGGGAACAACAUACGAAGCCGUGAGAUGGAAAUGUCUUGGUUCUUUUGGGAGCUGAAAGGAGGAUUGGUAGCUCAAUUUUUGAAGCUUGGUUUGGAAUAAAAAUGGGAUAUCUGAGUGGAGAGUUUCUAGAAUAAGGAGGAAAUUAACAGCCCAAAAGGAAAUGAGUUGUCACUGGUGACAUUCACUCAUCAUAAACCUGAUCUGAGUCAUUCUGGGCGUCGGGGAAGUAGCAGUAAGAAGCUUGCACUCUAGAAAUAGAAAAGAAAUAACUCAAUAAACAAUUUGAUUUCAGAUCAUGAUAAGGUCCUAUUAAGAUGACACAAUAUCCUGGGAAUGAUAAUGACUGCUUUAAAUAGGGAAGUCAGAGAAGGCUCUUGAGGAGGAGACACCAGCUGCAGAGGCUGCAGUGAGGGCAUUUCAACAGAGCAUGUGCAAAAGUCCUGAGAUCUGCUGGUUCUACUUUUUCUAUUGUCGCAAAUGCUCAGAGUAUUCUCGUGGUCCCUCUGUCCCACAGCACACAAGGACACCUCACUUCAUCGUGUCCAGAGGCAGCAUAUCAUCUCUGGGAAGCCAGAGUCGCCCGUGCAUGCUCCAUCUCCUCUCUCUCUGUGACUUCUGCCUCUCUUUCUGUCACGCUGUGCAGCUUAUCUUCCCACCCCAGCUACACUGCCAGCAACCCCUUCUCCCUCCUGAGGGAGGCACAGUGAAGUGCUCUGUGGACUACAACCUGGGAGGAGCCUCAAACAGCGGAGGAAGUUUCUGUGGCCCAGGAGGCUGGGUCAGGAAAUGGGUGGCUGUAACUGUAGGGAUGGGCACAGUUCACUGACGAGCCUGAGACUCAGUUCAACAAGCUGGCACUGAGCUCCUGCUGUGGGGGUUCUGGGCCACUCGCUUGCAUCUUCCUAACACACGUCUGGGUGUUUGAGAAUGUGAGCUCUGAAUGUGGAUGCAAAUGCAUGGCUAUCUACGUCCAAAAGAAGAAUGGAGUAGAGAAUCAUGCUCUCAAAGGCAAACUGAGACAAACUUCGCAAAUUGCAAUUAAAGACGAACUGAGAUGUUACCAAGUUGCUACUUAGAAACUAUACAAAAUAUGCAAAUAUAUUUUCUUUAUAGAAUUAAGCUACCCAAGAACCAGACUCAAAAACAUUAAUUGAGCACCUAUUAUAUGCCAAGUCCUCUGCUUGGAAAACGGAUUUAAUUCUUACAGUGGUCCUUUGCAGUAUGUCUAAUUUUCCCCAUUUUACGGGUAACGGGCAAGAGAGCAGCCUGAUGCACUGGUCACGUCCUACAGACCGGCAGAGCAGGGGCGGGCACGCAGGUCUUCUGACCAUGGAUCCUGGGUCAUCUCCUGAGACACCAACCACCUGCUCAGCAUCAUGACAGCACAUUGGGAGGCAGCCUGGGGAGAGUCGAGAGCAGCGAUGGCUACGCCCGAUUGAGUGUGAGUGAGAAUCUCAGCGUUACUCUUUCUAGCUGGGUGAGCUUGGGCCAGUAACUUGACUUUCAUAAGCCUCAGUCUUCUGAUCUCUACAAUUGGAAUAAUAAAACCCAUGUUGCAGGGUUGUUUAAGGACUGAAUGAGCUUCUUCCAACAAGCAUCCCUCAUCAUGCCUGGUACACGGCACUCAAUAGAUGGGAGUUACGUAUCCUGUCAAAGGAGAGAAGUUAGCCCUCAGGGUGCUCUUUUUAAGCUUGUUCACAUCCACCAGCUCCUUGUAUUCUCUAGCAAAUGGAGCUAGCUGGUGGAGGGCAGGGCUCCAACCUAACGCUGUCUCCAAGAUGGUGCUCCUCGCUCCCCAGCCCUCUCCACCCAGAGUGAGCAACCCAAUCAUCCUCAUUAAAGCAGGGGCUUCCCACUGCCCAGCCUCACGUCUGCAGCCGGGAGCAGAAGAGUCAGAGGGACAUGAGUGGCCAUCAGCAGUUAACAUUCAAUGUCUCAGGACAUAUCCACCACCCGAAGUCUCUUGUCACAUUCUCUCCCUGAGGUUUCCAACAACUGAAGAGACUCACAUUGGAAUCAAAAUGCUGCCUUUUUAACAUAAUGACUGCCCCCUUGUACCUUCAGAUGCCUGAGCGGGAUGAUUUACAUAAAUGCCCUGCGCACUGUGUCAGAACAUUUAGAUAUGAGCGUCUGAAUCGGGCUCUUAUUAAGAAGAAAUUCGUUCCUAAUGUAAUUUAAUUUUUUUGUAUACUUACCCCAUCAAAUACCCUGCCUAAUAAAUUAUGUAAAAAAAGUUAAAAAUAAGUGAGUCACAUGACCCUUGAAGUUAGAAAAUAAAUCAGGAAAGAAAAAAAGGGAAGUGAAUUGUUCUAAGUAUACCAGAAAGGCCUUAUGUAUUCAGAGACUCAUUUACUUUUCUCCAAAUCAAUAUGCAGUGCUCAACACAGAGAAUAUCAAAUAUAAAGCCCAGAAGAUAACAGCAGCAAUUGCAACAUGCAAUUGUGCAGCUGUGGUAUCAUCCCGCACUGCCCCCUACCCCCCAGCCCAGGCCCCUCCAUCAGAUGCGUUGCUAUGUUAAUAUUUUAGGCUUAAAAGACCAGAAUUAAUGCAUUCAAUUUUGUCUCUGAUGUGUUGGUUUUCUGUCAAAAAUUCCUGACAGAAUUAACAGCCGAUGAAUCAGGAUAAUUAGAGAUGCAGAGAUGCGCCCGAUCACAUGGUCCUUGGGCACACCAUCAUCUCUUGCUUGGAUGCAGGGCUUUGGCACGAGAUGACCCGCCUCGCCAUUCUUCUCCAGGACAAUUUUCAGCUAUAAAUAGGCCACCAAUGAUUUUUCUCUCUGAAUAAUGAAUAUGGAGGGUGAUCUUCCUCUGUUUUGAUGAACAAGAAUGAUUACCAAAAUCAGACGAAAUCUAGGGAGGCAACUGGAGGAGGUGUUACAAAGCCCCUGAAAGGGACAAAGUUUAAAUUAAGAAGAGUUUAUAGCCUUAUCAUUUUACUGAUUCUUUUUUUUUUCAAAUCAUGAAAUGGUUUUCUGUUAAUAGAGAGAUCCUGCGAAAUAGGCAAAGAUCCUCUGGGGAAUGUUCCAGUUCAUUCAACCCUACAGUGAAAAUAGGGAAGUGUUUAGAGGAGGACAACAGAAACACAGGAAGUGGACAGCUGAAAAUGAGAAUGUGAAAUUUUAGCGUUUUCACACUCAGUGCCAGCCUCUGCCCCUUCCCUAGGCCAACGCCUCCUUUUCCGACAAUGUCUUCACUCUGGAACAGGAACAUGGCAGAAGGGAGAGAGGAAGGGAGGAUACAAGUGUCUGGCUGCCGGUGAAGGCGGUGAUGGAAGGAUGUGUUCCAGGCCUCUCUCCUGGGCUUGUGGAUGCCAUCUUCUCCCUGUGGAUUCGCAUCGUCUUCCUUCUGUAUGGGUCUGUGUCCAAAUUUCCCCUUCUUAUCUGGACUCCAGGCGUGUUGGAUAAGGGCCCACCCUAAUGACCUCAUUUUAACUUGAUCACCUCUGUAAAGACCCCAUCUCUGAAUAAAGUCUGAGGUACUGGC